UACCAGCACCCCGAGUGGUCGGGACGAUUAUUGGGCCUAAAGCAUCCGUAGCCGGUCCUACAAGUCUUCCGUUAAAUCCACCUGCUUAACAGAUGGGCUGCGGAAGAUACUAUAGGGCUAGGAGGCGGGAGAGGCAAGCGGUACUCAGUGGGUAGGGGUAAAAUCCUCUGAUCCAUUGAAGACCACCAGUGGCGAAGGCGGCUGCCAGAACGCGCUCGACGGUGAGGGAUGAAAGCUGGGGGAGCAAACCGGG
rnacentral:rRNA from 1 species